rnacentral:rRNA from 1 species
AUUGAACGCUGGCGGCAUGCCUUACACAUGCAAGUCGAACGGCAGCACGGGGCAACUUGGUGGCGAGUGGCGAACGGGUGAGUAAUGCAUCGGAACGUACCUUUCAGUGGGGGAUAACGUAGCGAAAGUUACGCUAAUACCGCAUAUUCUGUGAGCAGGAAAGCAGGGGAUCGCAAGACCUUGCGCUGAUUGAGCGGCCGAUGUCAGAUUAGCUAGUUGGUGAGGUAAAGGCUCACCAAGGCGACGAUCUGUAGCGGGUCUGAGCGGAUGAUCCGCCACACUGGAACUGAGACACGGUCCAGACUCCUACGGGAGGCAGCAGUGGGGAAUUUUGGACAAUGGGGGCAACCCUGAUCCAGCCAUGCCGCGUGAGUGAAGAAGGCCUUCGGGUUGUAAAGCUCUUUCGGCCGGGAAGAAAUCGCACGGGCUAAUACCCUGUGUGGAUGACGGUACCGGAAUAAGAAGCACCGGCUAACUACGUGCCAGCCGCCGCAGUAAGAC